UUUAUUUUGUUCCUCCACAUUAAGGUAACUGCAAACAUAUUGCUGUGAGAGAAGAAAAGGUAAGUCUCCAGCUUUAGUCUGCAAUAACUUAAAGAAAUAGACCCAGG
rnacentral:lncRNA from 1 species